rnacentral:siRNA from 1 species
CAAAGUUUUCUCUGGUGUUGU